UGCAGCCAUGCCGCGUGUAUGAAGAAGGCCUUCGGGUUGUAAAGUACUUUCAGCAGUGAGGAAGGCGGGUACGUUAAUAGCGUGCUNGUUUGACGUUAGCUGCAGAAGAAGCACCGGCUAACUCCGUGCCAGCAGCCGCGGUAAUACGGAGGGUGCGAGCGUUAAUCGGAAUUACUGGGCGUAAAGCGCAUGCAGGUGGUUUGUUAAGUCAGAUGUGAAAGCCCGGGGCUCAACCUCGGAAUUGCAUUUGAAACUGGCAGACUAGAGUACUGUAGAGGGGGGUAGAAUUUCAGGUGUAGCGGUGAAAUGCGUAGAGAUCUGAAGGAAUACCGGUGGCGAAGGCGGCCCCCUGGACAGAUACUGACACUCAGAUGCGAAAGCGUGGGGAGCAAACAGGAUUAGAUACCCUGGUAGUCCACGCCGUAAACGAUGUCUACUUGGAGGUUGUGGCCUUGAGCCGUGGCUUUCGGAGCUAACGCGUUAAGUAGAC
rnacentral:rRNA from 1 species